UCUGGUAUGCGUAACUGGCGAAACGUAGAGGACUACGGGGGAGCGCAUAUUGCAUACAGCCGAUCGCCUGGGCAGAGCGU
rnacentral:ncRNA from 2 species